rnacentral:rRNA from 1 species
AUUGAACGCUGGCGGCAGGCCUAACACAUGCAAGUCGAACGGGUGGCGGACGGGUGAGUAAUGUCUGGGACACUGCCUGAUGGAGGGGGAUAACUACUGGAAACGGUUGCUAAUACCGCAUACCAUCGGAUGUGCCCCGAUGGGAUUAGCUAGUUGUUGGGGUAACGGCUCACCAAGGCGACGAUCCCUAGCUGGUCUGAGAGGAUGACCAGCCACACUGGAACUGAGACACGGUCCAGACUCCUACGGGAGGCAGCAGUGGGGAAUAGUGCACAAUGGGCGCAAGCCUGAUGCAGCCAUGCCGCGUGUAUGAAGAAGGCCUUCGGGUUGUAAAGUACUUUCAGCGGGGAGGCGUUACCCGCAGAAGAAGCACCGGCUAACUCCGUGCCAGCAGCCGCGGUAAUAC